rnacentral:rRNA from 1 species
GGGUGAUGGCGUGCCUUUUGUAGAAUGAACCGGCGAGUUACGAUCCCGUGCGAGGUUAAGCUGAAGAGGCGGAGCCGCAGCGAAAGCGAGUCUGAAUAGGGCGUUUAGUACGUGGUCGUAGACCCGAAACCAGGUGAUCUACCCAUGUCCAGGGUGAAGUUCAGGUAACACUGAAUGGAGGCCCGAACCCACGCACGUUGAAAAGUGCGGGGAUGAGGUGUGGGUAGCGGAGAAAUUCCAAUCGAACCUGGAGAUAGCUGGUUCUCCCCGAAAUAGCUUUAGGGCUAGCCUUAAGUGUAAGAGUCUUGGAGGUAGAGCACUGAUUGGACUAGGGGUCCUCAUCGGAUUACCGAAUUCAGUCAAACUCCGAAUGCCAAUGACUUAUCCUUAGGAGUCAGACUGCGAGUGAUAAGAUCCGUAGUCAAAAGGGAAACAGCCCAGACCGCCAGCUAAGGUCCCAAAGUGUGUAUUAAGUGGAAAAGGAUGUGGAGUUGCUUAGACAACUAGGAUGUUGGCUUAGAAGCAGCCACCAUUUAAAGAGUGCGUAAUAGCUCACUAGUCGAGUGACUCUGCGCCGAAAAUGUACCGGGGCUAAAUACACCACCGAAGCUGCGGAUUGAUACCAAUGGUAUCAGUGGUAGGGGAGCGUUCUAAGGACAGUGAAGUCAGACCGGAAGGACUGGUGGAGUGCUUAGAAGUGAGAAUGCCGGUAUGAGUAGCGAAAGACGGGUGAGAAUCCCGUCCACCGAAUGCCUAAGGUUUCCUGAGGAAGGCUCGUCCGCUCAGGGUUAGUCAGGACCUAAGCCGAGGCCGACAGGCGUAGGCGAUGGACAACAGGUUGAUAUUCCUGUACCACCUCUUUAUCGUUUGAGCAAUGGAGGGACGCAGAAGGAUAGAAGAAGCGUGCGAUUGGUUGUGCACGUCCAAGCAGUUAGGCUGAUAAGUAGGCAAAUCCGCUUAUCGUGAAGGCUGAGCUGUGAUGGGGAAGCUCCUUAUGGAGCGAAGUCUUUGAUUCCCCGCUGCCAAGAAAAGCUUCUAGCGAGAUAAAAGGUGCCUGUACCGCAAACCGACACAGGUAGGCGAGGAGAGAAUCCUAAGGUGUGCGAGAGAACUCUGGUUAAGGAACUCGGCAAAAUGACCCCGUAACUUCGGGAGAAGGGGUGCUUUCUUAACGGAAAGCCGCAGUGAAUAGGCCCAAGCGACUGUUUAGCAAAAACACAGCUCUCUGCGAAGCCGUAAGGCGAAGUAUAGGGGGUGACACCUGCCCGGUGCUGGAAGGUUAAGGAGAGGGGUUAGCGUAAGCGAAGCUCUGAACUGAAGCCCCAGUAAACGGCGGCCGUAACUAUAACGGUCCUAAGGUAGCGAAAUUCCUUGUCGGGUAAGUUCCGACCCGCACGAAAGGUGUAACGAUUUGGGCACUGUCUCAACCAGAGACUCGGUGAAAUUAUAGUACCUGUGAAGAUGCAGGUUACCCGCGACAGGACGGAAAGACCCCGUGGAGCUUUACUGUAGCCUGAUAUUGAAUUUUGGUACAGUUUGUACAGGAUAGGCGGGAGCCUUUGAAACCGGAGCGCUAGCUUCGGUGGAGGCGCUGGUGGGAUACCGCCCUGACUGUAUUGAAAUUCUAACCUACGGGUCUUAUCGACCCGGGAGACAGUGUCAGGUGGGCAGUUUGACUGGGGCGGUCGCCUCCUAAAGUGUAACGGAGGCGCCCAAAGGUUCCCUCAGAAUGGUUGGAAAUCAUUCGUAGAGUGCAAAGGCAUAAGGGAGCUUGACUGCGAGACCUACAAGUCGAGCAGGGACGAAAGUCGGGCUUAGUGAUCCGGUGGUUCCGCAUGGAAGGGCCAUCGCUCAACGGAUAAAAGCUACCCCGGGGAUAACAGGCUUAUCUCCCCCAAGAGUCCACAUCGACGGGGAGGUUUGGCACCUCGAUGUCGGCUCAUCGCAUCCUGGGGCUGUAGUCGGUCCCAAGGGUUGGGCUGUUCGCCCAUUAAAGCGGUACGCGAGCUGGGUUCAGAACGUCGUGAGACAGUUCGGUCCCUAUCCGUCGUGGGCGUAGGAAAUUUGAGAGGAGCUGUCCUUAGUACGAGAGGACCGGGAUGGACGCACCGCUGGUGUACCAGUUGUUCUGCCAAGGGCAUAGCUGGGUAGCUAUGUGCGGAAGGGAUAAGUGCUGAAAGCAUCUAAGCAUGAAGCCCCCCUCAAGAUGAGAUUUCCCAUAGCGUAAGCUAGUAAGAUCCCUGAAAGAUGAUCAGGUUGAUAGGUUCGAGGUGGAAGCAUGGUGACAUGUGGAGCUGACGAAUACUAAUAGAUCGAGGACUUAACCAUAUAA